GUCAACAUGAUCAAGUAAAUGAUGUUAUUAAGUAAGAGAUUAUUAUUUCACUUAUCUUUUGGAGAUUAUUUUGACUGCAUGGUGGAAUACUAUAUAUUGAGAUUUAAAUUGAUACUUUUUUUUUUUUUUUAAGAUUUCCUAAAUCCAGUUUCCUCCAUUUCAACAGUUAUACAUUCUGCCUACCUUGCAGUAGGGAAGGGACAAACAGAUAAAUCAAAUUACAAAAGAGGUAGAAAAAUUUCUGUGUCCCAGAGAGAAGGAAAUAUGAAGACUGGUGUCAAGAAAGAGAAAUGGGAGAGAGUUGAAUGCAUCCCUGCCGAGUUCUAUAGAAGGAGAUCUGGUCAUUUUCUAGACCAGUUACAGUCUCUAAUGUGACCGCAUCAAAAGAGCUGGAGAUGUUAAAGAGAAUUGGAAUUAAGACAAAUUCAAUUCCAUGAAUAGAAGUUUCUAGGAAGUUUCCUGGUCCUGGGUAGAUCAAACCACACCAAUAAAUUCUGGAUGUUCGCAACGUGGGGCUGGAUU
rnacentral:lncRNA from 1 species